rnacentral:rRNA from 1 species
AGCAGCCGCGGUAAUUCCAGCUCCAAUAGCGUAUAUUAAAGUUGUUGCAGUUAAAAAGCUCGUAGUUGAAUUUCGGGAUCAAAUUGUUGGUCGUGCCUCGGUACGCACUGGUAUUAUUGGUUCCUACCUUCUGAAGAACCGCGAUGUCAUUAAUUUGGUGUCGUGGGGAAUCAGGACUGUUACUUUGAAAAAAUUAGAGUGUUUAAAGCAGGCUUACGCUUGAAUACAUUAGCAUGGAAUAAUGAAAUAGGACGUUUGAUUCUAUUUUGUUGGUUUCUAGGAUUGACGUAAUGAUUAAUAGGGAUAGUUGGGGGCAUUAGUAUUCAAUUGUCAGAGGUGAAAUUCUUGGAUUUAUUGAAGACUAACUACUGCGAAAGCAUUUGCCAAGGAUGUUUUCAUUAAUCAAGAACGAAGGUUAGGGGAUCGAAGACGAUCAGAUACCGUCGUAGUCUUAACCAUAAACUAUGCCGACUAGGGAUCGGAUGAUGUUAAUUUUUAAUGACUCAUUCGGCGCCUUACG